CCGGGGAUGGCGCUGCGCUGUGCUGCGCUCGCCGCCCCGCGCCGCACCGCGCCGCCCCUCCCCGCGCCGCGAUCACUCCGCACCUCACUGCCAGACGGGGUCUGCUCAAGUAGUCCCUCCCCGCCGCGUUCCUCCCCGCGCUCCCCGCCGCCCUUCCCGUCUCCCGCCGAGGGCGGCAGGCCGCUCCCCGCCGGGGGCUCCCGAGGGGAGGGGGCGAGACCCCCCCCCCCCGGCUGCGGCGAGCAGAGAGGGGCGGGGGGCGCGGGCCCAGAAACCAGCUGUUAUCCCGCGAGAUGGAAGCCGAUUGCCGCAGUGUUGCCAACCCCAGCAGUUUUAGCUCGAGCAUCAUGUUAUUUAAAUUCUCCCGGAGAGCCCAGCUCUGGGAAUCACGAGAUUACAGGAGAAUCUCUGAUUUAAUUUUUUUUAAUGAGUUUCUUACGCUGUGGGUUGCAAAGAAAAGCUGAGCAAGGUACCCCUGAAGACUCAAAAGCAGAAGGCAGAUUAAUUCCGAAUAUAUUACGAUUUAAAACCUCACUAUUUUUACUUAGCCUCAUUCAUUUUUCAUAACUGGGGCUGGGAGCUGCCAGCGCCGGGCUGGAUUUCCCAAAGGAGCCGCAGGCGCAGCGACACGGAGGCACCUUGACGCGGAGACACGGGAGCGCGUGGCGCCGAGCUGCAGCCUUGGGGUCCCUUCGCCGCGGGUGGGAGAGCCCAGGGCUGCAGACGGGGCUGAGGAAACCCCGACCGGCGGGGCCAACGGUGGCGGAAAGCGCCGGCGCUGCGGUGUUGCUGAAGCCCCAUCCCACCGGCAAUCUGAGGUCUGCAGCAGGGCUCCUGCCUCCCCAGAGCACUCACAUGGGAGGUGGGCACCACGGUCUGCCCUCUGGAAAGCAAAAAAAAUAAAGGUGCCUUUUUUCUUUAA